UACAGAGGGUGCAAGCGUUGUUCGGAAUUACUGGGCGUAAAGCGCGCGUAGGUGGUCGUUUAAGUCUUACUGUGAAAUCCCGGGGCUCAACCCCGGGGCUGCAGAGGAUACUGGGCGACUGGAGACAGGUAGAGGCGAGCGGAAUUCCGGGUGUAGCGGUGGAAUGCGUAGAGAUCCGGAAGAACACCAGAGGCGAAGGCGGCUCGCUGGGCCUGGUCUGACACUGAGGCGCGAAAGCGUGGGGAGCGAACAGG
rnacentral:misc_RNA from 1 species